rnacentral:lncRNA from 1 species
UGCCAGAUCCGCCACAAAUACAGGGAAUCCACUGUUCACACGGAUAGAGUCUCCCCUGUAUUUGCACGGCGUCGAUCAAAUACACAGUACAACCAGGAUACAACCACAACCAGAUGAAUAUAAAGAUAACUAUACAUUCAUACAUUCACCAUUCACAUCACAGUUUUACAUUCAAGGUUUAAACAGAAAUCCACAAAAAUCUUUUGAAAGCUGUUUCCUACACAGAAACCUUUAUUCUUUUAAAAACGCUACCACGAGGGGUAGAAAACCUUUUAUUUUACAAAAUCCAGAAAUCCACAUUUUCAAAUGUAAAUAAAUACUGAACCACAUAAACCAACUAAACUAUAUAUCAACAGAAAUACCAAGGAUAAGAACUAAAUCGAAAUAACCUGGGUCGGAAGCUCUAUCGACCGCUACACACGUACCUCACGUCUCGUCCCACUACUCAUCGCUCGCGAUACCUGAAAAAUGGUGGGGGAGGUGAGAACAUGUAAACAUGUCUCCCCUCCCAGUGGGUACCGCAAGCCGAAGAAGGCGAGGAGUACUCACUGGAUCAGGAAGAGCUAAACAACAGUACGGGUCAGUAGAAAAUACAGUAGCAAUAAUAAUGA